rnacentral:rRNA from 1 species
UAGAUAGCCAUGCAUGUCUAAGUAUAAGCAAUUAUACAGCGAAACUGCGAAUGGCUCAUUAAAUCAGUUAUCGUUUAUUUGAUAGUACCUUACUACAUGGAUAACCGUGGUAAUUCUAGAGCUAAUACAUGCUGAAAACCCCGACUUCGGAAGGGGUGUAUUUAUUAGAUUAAAAACCAAUGCCCUUCGGGGCUCACUGGUGAUUCAUGAUAACUUCUCGAAUCGCACGGCCUUGCGCCGGCGAUGGUUCAUUCAAAUUUCUGCCCUAUCAACUUUCGACGGCUGGGUCUUGGCCAGCCGUGGUGACAACGGGUAACGGAGGGUUAGGGCUCGACCCCGGAGAAAACGCCUGAGAAACGGCGUUUACAUCCAAGGAAGGCAGCAGGCGCGCAAAUUACCCAAUGCCGACACGGCGAGGUAGUGACGAGAAAUACUGAUACAGGGCUCUUUUGGGUCUUGUAAUUGGAAUGAGUACAAUUUAAAUCUCUUAACGAGGAACAAUUGGAGGGCAAGUCUGGUGAACGUUCCAGUUCCGAUGCUGGUGCCAGAGAUAGCGGUUAAAUAGCCCACGCUAGUCGAGCAUCCGCCAUCAGCGGGAGGAUGCCGGCGAGACAACCUGGAUCGGGGGACGCUAAGGUGCCGAAGGGCGCUAUGCCAAUCCCGAGCGGAGUCCACUGACGGACCCGUGUAGAGCGCGCAAAGGUGUCGGUCCGGCUCGGUCGAGCUGGGCUUAAGGUACGUGCCGAUCCCCCGCGAAAGCGGGGCCGCGUCCAAGAGUGCCCGCUGCACGAAUGGACGUG